GAUGAACGCUGGCUACAGGCUUAACACAUGCAAGUCGAGGGGAAACGACGGGGAAGCUUGCUUCCCCGGGCGUCGACCGGCGCACGGGUGAGUAACGCGUAUCCAACCUGCCUCUGACUGAGGGAUAACCCGUCGAAAGUCGGCCUAAUACCUCAUGGCAUCGUCUGCGGGCAUCCAACGACGAUUAAAGAUUUCAUCGGUCAGGGAUGGGGAUGCGUCUGAUUAGCUAGUUGGCGGGGUAACGGCCCACCAAGGCGACGAUCAGUAGGGGUUCUGAGAGGAAGGUCCCCCACAUUGGAACUGGGCCCCGGUCCAAACUCCUACGGGAGGCAGCAGUGAGGAAUAUUGGUCAAUGGGCGAGAGCCUGAACCAGCCAAGUAGCGUGCAGGAUGACGGCCCUAUGGGUUGUAACCUGCUUUUAUGCGGGGAUAAAGUGAGGGACGUGUCCUUCAUUGCAGGUACCGCAUGAAUAAGGACCGGCUAAUUCCGUG
rnacentral:rRNA from 1 species